rnacentral:lncRNA from 1 species
CAUCAAAUUGACUACCGCACCCAAGUCUAACAUGCCCGAGACCUCCCCAGCUCUACCCAAACUAAUACCAAAAAUGAAGCUGCCUGGAUCUCCUUGCUUCGGUAGUGGUUAGGUUGGAUCAACAAUCACUGGUGGCAGAGGCGGGCUGGGACGUUGGAUAGCUUUCGGCGGUCGAUAUGGCGUAGUGGAUUUGUGAAGUUUCAGCUCUGGCAGCCUUAUCAACUCUGUCAUCCUUAUCAGUUCUGGCGCUCUUCUCAGCUCUGGCGCCCUUAUCUGCUCUGGCACCCUGGUCUUCUCUAGCACCCUUGUCUGCUCUAUUUUUGCAGAAACAAUAAAAUUACAACUAUCAUCAACUCUUAAUAAAUUCAACCACCAUAUGAACACUUAUUCGAAAGUGAAUAAAAUCGAAAGAUCAAAACCUUUUUGAAAGAUCCCAAAUUAAGUUCUGCACGAUCAACUCCUCCAAUAACCUCAAAGAUGCAAGCAUCACCGCAUUCCAAAUUGUUAUUAGCAUCAAAGCUUCUCCACCCAUUAGUCACAAGCUUCAACCCACGACCACUCAGAAAAGCCCCAAAAAUCAAUUCUUU